rnacentral:rRNA from 1 species
UACGUAGGGCGCAAGCGUUGUCCGGAAUUAUUGGGCGUAAAGAGCUCGUAGGCGGCCUGUUGCGUCCGCUGUGAAAUCCCGGGGCUUAACCCCGGGCGUGCAGUGGAUACGGGCAGGCUGGAGGCAGGCAGGGGAGAACGGAAUUCCCGGUGUAGCGGUGAAAUGCGCAGAUAUCGGGAGGAACACCGGUGGCGAAGGCGGUUCUCUGGGCCUGUACUGACGCUGAGGAGCGAAAGCGUGGGAGCGAACAGG